GCAAAAUGAUGAGAAACCUUUUUUUUUAUACAGUUAUCCCUGUCUUAACAAACUAUGUCGAGGAUCUUCAAUCUGAACAAUAC
rnacentral:snoRNA from 1 species